UCUCAAACAUGACGCCAGCUUUGAGUAUUACCGGCUGAUGAUUGGCUGUUCUGCCUUAAGUCCCGCCUCUCUUGAUCGGUCAGCUCCGUCAGCUCGCACUGAGGAGGCGGGAACUUUGUUUAUUUACAUCUCCAUUUUUCAGUAUAAAUAAGAUACAGAAAAGAAAGAGGCAGGAGAAGAUUGACACCUUUUUCAAGAGAAAUCCUGAGAUGAGGUUGCUGGAGGCAUCAGUUUAAAGAGAGAGAGAGAGAGGCAGAGAAAGUUUCACAGGUGAGCAAUGAAAAAUGAAUGUUACAGUUUGAGAAAGAGGUCUAUGAGAGAAGAGAGGAUGUGUUUGUGUCAUGGGUGGUGCUUAAUUCCAUCCCAGGUGCACAUACGCGUGUUUCUGGUGUGUUUAUAUCAAAUUUAAAAUGUUAUCCAUCCCCCACACUUUUGAAAAGCUUGCUACGCCCCUGG